rnacentral:lncRNA from 1 species
ACAGGGGCCUGCUCAUUCCCGGCAUGCUGUGCGUCUCCUCUGGAAGGACUGGGCGUGCCCGGCGUGCUGUGCGUCCCCUCCGGAAGGACUGGGCGUGCCCGGCGUGCUGUGCGUCUCCUCCGGAAGGACUGGGCGUGCCCGGCGUGCUGUGCGUCCCCUCCGGAAGGACUGGGCGUGCCCGGCGUGCUGUGCGUCUCCUCUGGAAGGACUGGGCGUGCCCGGCGUGCUGUGCGUCCCCUCCGGAAGGACUGGGCAUGCAGUCUGUAGAGUCCGUCCACACGAAGAAGACUCCCAUCCACACCUUCCAGGUGGACCACCUGCUACAUGGAGUUAGAAGCCAGGAAUCACGUGACUGCCCGCCCAAUCGUGACCCAUCACAGGCUCUGUGCACAAGGCACAGACAUUUAAAGUCAUUUUUAUUGAGGCGUGAUUUGGGGUGUCCUGAUAAGAAGAGGAGCUGAGGACACAGACAUGUCCAGCGGGACCUUGGGAGGACAUAGAGGGAAGACGCCUUCUGCAAACCACUGAGAGAGGCCUCGAGGAACCAGCCCUGGCCGACACCUUGAUAUGGGACUUCCAGCCUCCAGGACGGUAAAACACUUAGUCCAAACAGAUGCAGGGACCUGCCAAUGGGAUAUAAACGUAACAUCCAUGCUUGAGAAUGGAUUCUUUCACUCUCAUCCCUUUGCACAGAAGACUCCAGGCAGAAAAAUUAUACAGACCACAUUUAUUCUACUUCUUCCAUUGUUCCAAAAGUUGAUACUUGGGAUCCAUUGAGAUGCGGUCUCUACCUGGCCUCCCCCAUGUUGACUGCUUUUGUACUGCACCCAUGGAGACAAAGAAAAGACAAAGAAGACGGAACCUCCAUGUUGAAUAUACCUGGUUCCAGGGCGAGGUUCAGCAAUUACAAUAGUGACAUCAGAGAUCGCUGAUAACAGAUCAUCAUCACAGAUGUGAUAACAAGAAAAAAAUGAGAUAUUUUUAUCAUUGAUGUGAUGGCAAAUAUUGAGUAUCAACUUGAUUGAAUUGAAGGAUGCAAGGUAUUAUUCCUGGGUGUGUCUGUGAGGGUGUUGCCAAAGGAGGUUAACAUUUGAGUUGGUGAACUGGGAAAGGCAGACCCACCCUCAGUCUGGGUGGGCACCAUCUAAUCAGCUGCCAGCAUGGCUAGGAUAAAAGCAGGCAGAGGAAGGUGGACGGACUAGACUUGUUAAGUCUUCUGGCCUCCAUCUUUCUCCUGUGCUGGAUGCUUCCUGCCCUCGAACAUUGGACUCCAAGUUCUUCAGCUUCUGGACUCUUGGACCUACACCAGUGGUUUGCAGGGGCUCUCGGGCCUUUGACCACAGACUGAAGGCUGCACUGUCGGCUUCCCUACUUCUGAGAUUUUGGAACUUGGACUGGCUUCCUUGCUCCUCAGCUUGCAGAAGGCCUAUUGUGGGCCUUCACCUUGUGAUCAUAUGAGUCAAUUCUCCUUAAUAAACUCCGUUUCAUAUAUACAUCUAUCCGAUCAGUCCUGUCCCUCUAGGGAACCCUGACUAAUACAAUUGUCAAAAUGUGACACAGAGGCACAAAGUGAGCACCUGCUGUAGGAAAAAUGGUGCUGAUAGACUUGACUCAGGGUUGCCACAAAAUUCAGUUUGUAAAAAACACAGUAUCUGCAUAAUGCAAUAAAAGAAGAUAGGCAUGCCAUAUUCUUCAUGAUUUUCAUGGGAAUAUAGUGUAUCUUUAGAGAGCACUGUCCAUUUAUAAUAAUCCUACACUUAAAUAAACAUUUUUCAUUACCCUUUCUAAAAAUAAUUUUAGUAGUUCAGUUUAAUUGCUAUUUUAUCUAUUGAAGGUUCAUUAAUUAAACUCAAUAAGUUACUUAAAAAAAAAUCCUUAUUGUUGAUAAUGCCUGAAAUUAAUGCACUCUGGAGUAUCUGUUUACAAGAUGAAACUGUCGUACUAAUUAUAACUAAAACAAACACUUUACCUCAAGCCUCUCACUUAGCCAAAAAGUGACCUAUUAUGGGAAAACACACAAACAAAGUGAUAGUUACUGAGCCCAAAACUUAAUAAAUGGAAGUGAAGAGUUCCGAAAAAGGGCUGUAUGUUACAAACGAUCUUUGAAAGCAACAGUGUUAGGAAUGCAAUUAUAACAUUUGCACAGUGACUCUUUUGUUAUUUAGUAUCUUACGUAUUUUUUCAUUUGAUCCAAACAAUUGCCCAGCUAGGAAGUUUUUCUGAGUAUGAUUCUCUUUUUUUUUUAAAUAUCAUGUAAACCAAGAUUCUAGGAAAAAAAAAAAGACUCAAAUCUAACAUCAUCAUUGUGAAAGAGGUAAGACUUGAAUUUGUAUUUCUUAUCACUUUUUUUUCAUAAAACUCUUUCUGUUCCCACAGGUGGCCUUUUCUAAUAACCAGUAUCACAACGGGCCUUCUUAAUGUGGGUUUUUAAAACCACAAACAAAAACCAUUAGCUUCAAACCUUUGAAGACUACUUAAAAAUAAAUGCGCAUAAUUCUAGGGGGAAUAGUCUCACCAAAUAAUCAUUUGCAAAGCCCUUUGUAAUUAAGUACAGGGGACAUUACUGGGAUGCAAUGUUCCGUAAAGAGCUCGACUGUUGUUCUUGCAAGAAUGCACCCAAACAAUGAUAAUAAGUGAAACAAUGAUUGAUAAAAUGAUAGCAAUGCUCAAUUUCCAAAUCAGAAUUUGCCUGCCAAUUGAUGUCGGAAAGAACAUCCUUUUCUGAGAACUGGCGUCCUCUUAGAAAGGUUUUUGAAGGGCAAAGGUCUGGUCUUCAUCAUAUCGCUCAGUUUUCUUUUUUCUUUCAUUAUAAGUAUCCUCGUAGGAUAAAUUUUAAUCUGAACCUAAACUAAUUCCCUGUCAAACAAACUAGAAAUGAAAACUUUUACAAAGGUACUAAAGGGCAACCCUUGGAACGAACUCUCUUUGGUUAUGCCUAGACUAGAAAAAAGCUAUUUUUAUUAGGUACAGAAGUAGACCUGAGUGUUGGACUCUGGAAUAGGCACCACCUUGCCCAGGCAGAGAGGAAAUGAGCAUGACUCUUCCUCAGUCAGUGAUAUUAACAAGCCGAAGGCAGCAGAAGACUGAUCAAGGCAGAAGGGUGACUGGUUUAUGAAAGAGCUGAACUAUUUAUUAGCCCACAUUAAUCUCACAUACAAAUAAAUAUAUGUGAAAAUUUAGAGUAAGAAACUUGAGGCCAGCUCCUAGAUGUGCAGUUUACAGAGCAAAGUUCCACUAAAAUUCUGCGUCACUCUCUGUGUGAGUCAUUUAUUUAAUUUUUAAACAAGCAUAAGGUGUCUUUGUGUUCACUCAAUGUAUCAGGCAUUGUUUUGAACACCUAAUCAAAGAAAGCAGAGAUGUGAUGUCUGCCCCCAUAGGAGGUUAUUGACCAGUUGCACUGACAGCUGAAAUAUCCACAAGCCUGAGACACGUCCUGGGCCACGGUCGUGGUAGGAACAGCAUGCUGUGGAAACAGGCGGGUGACACACCACGUCAAUCUGGACCUUUCUAAGGCUUCCUGGGGGAGGUGACACUCCGGAUGGGAUACAGAAGAUCAAACAGAGACUAUUUAAGAGUGUGAGAACAGAGACCAGGGUUCAGAUGGAGUCUAAAUAGUUAUGUAUGGCUUCAUUCCAUCUUCCAUUUUAACGUACUCAUGAAGAGUCAAAGAAAAGCACCUGAGAUGCGUCAGGGCCCACCGCCGGCGCUGAGGAUGGAACAGUGAACACAGCAAGCCACGUCCUUCCUCCUAGGGCCCAUAUUCUGAUGGAAGGAGUCAGACGAAAGGCAGAGAAAUGCAAUAGAAAAUCGAAUACUGCAUGUGAUGAUUGAUAAGUGAAAUCUAAACAUUGGGUACUCGUGGACACGAAGAGGGGAACAACAGACGCUGUGGACAACUAGAGCUACGGGUGGAAAAGUCUCAAGCCACCAGCUCAGCAGCUGCAUCUUCAAGGAGGCAUCUGGCAGGGAGGCUGCAGCUGGAGCACUGAUUGGCGACAUUCAUCACAGCUCACUGUCGUGCUCUGGGAUCUGGCUGGUCUUUAAAGGAUACAUCUGCUGAGGUAAAUGGAGAUAUAGUGAGGACCACCCCACCACAGCUCUUAGGUCCUUCAUAGUGGCAGUAAUUUUUGCCUUUCCCCCUCUGGGAUGUAGUACCAUUUUUGAUGCAUUGUUUAGACAAGGGGAAGAAAGUUUUUGAGGCUUUCACUUCAUCUUAAGUACAAUAAUCAUCACUCCACAAGUCAAGGAACAAAUAUGGAGGUUUCUUCAACAACCAGAGAUAUUUGAGGGCAGUGGAAAUAACCAUAAGGUGGAGGUGGCCAGUGGGAACCAUGUUGAGCCAGGCUUGCAUCAGAACUCCAUUUAUCACCUGACCUCACCUCGCGCCUACUCUAUGAGGAGGCUUUAAUGUCACCUUAGCUCUUAAGGUACCAAUGACAACAAGAACUUUGCAUCAGACAGGCCUCAAAAUGCAUUUUUCCCCAGUGUGCAGUCUCCCAAGUAAAGAUACUGGAAGGACUGGAGAAUCUUUACGCUGGACGCCUUCCUUGGAACCGCAAGAACUUCAGCUCUCCUUCAAGCAGUGGGGCCUGCGUCUGAAAACUGGAUCCACUUGAAGCACACAAAGAGUCUUGACUUUUUAGUUUUUUUUUUUUUUUUUUGCGGUGCCUGCCCUCUGCCUCCUGACCACCCCUGCGGUAUUUAUUCCUAUUGAGCAGACUGGGAAGUGACGCUAGGUGCGUGUGAGCAGAGAUACUGUAUUUUAUGAACAAUCUUCAUAACUCCCUGUGGGUCAAUCCCAUAACUCCCUGGCUGCCACUCCAGCCUUUCCAGCCAUUAUGACAAUUCACCCCACCUGGCUUGUGACAGUUAAGCAUUACCAUGUGGCCUCUACUUUUCGAGGUUCGAGUAUCCCUAUUGAUCCUCAUAAGCCAGGUCUUGAAACUGAACCACCCACCAUCAGUCCUGGCCUGCAGAAAGGAGCAAGAUCAGAGCCUCCCAGGAUGUGAGGACCACGCCCCCGGCAUGCUGUUUAUUGUGUUGCUGUGCCCAUUGCCAGCCAGUCAGCCUGGUGCAGGCUGAUUAAAACUCUUAGGCAGUUGCCUCAAAGAGACAUUAAGCCUUGCUUGAAUUAAAUGCUGACACACAUUAGACACUAGAACUUUCAUAUGGUUCCAUGUCAUUGUGAAAUUGAUGGAGUUUCUCUGUUUGUUUCUUUAAUUUUAAUUUUUCUAAAGCACAAGAUUGAAAUAAGCCUCGCUAUUAGGUAGUUGAGAGAUAAGCUUGGUAUUCACUGUGGGAAAUCUUUAUGACAGACGUUAUUGUUUGGGGUAUGUAUUAAGAGAAAUGGUUAAACUGUGAAGGCCUCUAAGCUAAACUCUGGCUUUUGGAUCAUAAAACCUCUUCCAUUUACACAAAUAAAUUACAUUAUGUUACUUUCUCCUGUUUUAUAGCUGAAAAUACCAAGUGUUUUGGUAGACAAAUGACAAGCUAUCAGCCUGUCCCUAUUGCAAGUUGCAGACAGAUGUUUGAUAACCACAGUUAUCACAGAUGGAAGGGGCUGUGUCGAGACACCUUCUCCUGGGGGGCUAUUAGUCUCUGAUCUGUGAUAUGCUGUGGGGGAAGAGAGAAGAAAAUAGGAAGCACCAGCAUUACAGCCAUUUAUCACCCACCACUGUGUGUGGAAUAAAUGGAUCCUCUUUCAAGAUAGUCUAUUAUCUGCCGCUUGCCGGCUUCAUGCUGUCAUAUGUUUUUUUCAGUAGUCAAUAAAUUGCUGAAGGCCACAUUUGGAGAGUAAGUACCGCUGUAUGUCUAACUUUAUAUAUUGUUCUUUUAUUUACUGCAGCAUUUACCCAUUUUCUGGAGAGUCUACUAUAUACAUGGAGGUUUUAUUUUUUUUAUACUUACCAGAUCAUUUUAUGGAUGAUAGUUUACCAAAUUUAUUUUUAUAAUAAAUAAACCAACAAAACAUAGCUUUAGAAAAAAUCUUGUCCCUGCCUCAAAGUAUUUAAACACGCCCACACUUCAGCUUCUCAGAAAGAAACCUGCCCACUCCUUCAUUUAAUCUUGUCUUUCUUUCAAUCUGUGCUUUCUUCAACCAGUGUGCACACCACAUAUGGGACCCUAUAAACCAUGUAUUAAUUGGUGCAGAACACCACUUUCCUUUAACAUUAAAGGUGAAUAACUAGGAAUUAUUUCCUAAUCUCUAUUUUAUAAAUGCAGGGGAAAAGAGGCAAGGUUGAGAUUCAUUCCAGAGUGUUUACAGGUAAGGAAUUUUCAACAACCUUUGUUCUGCCCAGCCAGGCAUUCACCCACUAAUUUAUUAGGGACAAGAUCAAUAGCCUCAACGAGAUUGUAGUGCUUAAC